rnacentral:rRNA from 1 species
GGGGCACGGGUGAGUAUCGCGUUUGUACAUUACCCUAACUGGGACUUAGCCCGAAGAAAUACGGAUUAAUAUCCCAUAAUAUAUCGAAAAGGCAUCUCUUCAAUAUCAAAGCUCAUGCGGUUAGAGAUGGGCAUGCGUGUCAUUAGCUAGUAGGUGAGGUAACGGCUCACCUAGGCUACGAUGAGUAGGGGGUCUGAGAGGAUGAUCCCCCACACUGGUACUGAGACACGGACCAGACUCCUACGGGAGGCAGCAGUGAGGAAUAUUGGGCAAUGGACGCCACGUCUGAUCCUUUCAUGCCAGAGUGCAGGAUGACGGCCCUAUGGGUUGUAAACUGCUUUUAUACGGGAAGAAUGGUUCCUACGUGUCGGGAUUUGACGGUACCUAAUGAAUAAGGAUCGGCUAACUCCGUGCCAGCAGCCGCGGUAAUACGGAGGAUGCAAGCGUUAUCCGGAUUCAUUGGGUUUACAGGGUGCGCAGGCGGAAUAUUAAGUCAGUGGUGCAAUCCUGCGGCUUAACUGUAGAACUGCCAUUGAUACUGGUAUUCUUGAGUAUACGUGACAGUGGGCGGAAUGUGUAAUGUAGCGGUGAACAUGCUUAGAUAUUACACAGAAUACCGAUUGCGAAGGCAGCUCACUAAACUAUUAUUGACGCUGAUGC